AGACCUGCAGUGGAGACUGGGACAUGUUCAAGCAUCUGUCUCUAUGCUCUCAUCUUUGGAGGAAGGAAAAAGUUUUACCCUGAUUUCCUAGUAGUGGUCCUGCGUUCUGCACUAACCACACAGAAGUAGUUCACAAGGCAUGGUAGAGACCACAGCACCUUUCUGGUGCAUGAGGACACAACAAUCGUUUUCUGCCCAUUGCUUGUGGUUGGCAGUGUCACCUGGCUUCGACAGCAUUGACCUCCACCACUGGGAUUUAUGUGCGGUCUAGAGCACAUGACAGAGAAGGCAGAAGCCCUAAUCCUGAAAAGAACAGAAAACUGCCAGCUCUCAUUGAAGGCUAGAAGAGCAUGGACUGGUCUGCAUUUCCCAACAGUAAACACAGAUACUUCUGAACUUCUAUGAAAAUCAUUUAUGUCCAGGGUGGCUUCUUAUGCUUACCUCACACAAUAUUAUACAUGCAAGCUAAGCAUGGAAUAGGCCAGGAGAAGUCACUGCUACUCUGUGAGCUUCCUACUAGCAUGCUAACUACGGAGCUGAAUUACACACUUCAGUGCCCACCCACUUUGAUUAAGUGGCAGCCUAUUUGCAGCACUAAGGUAUUUACUUGUUUUGCAAUUGCUAAACAUACAUGAGACACUUGUCUUCCAUAUAAAAAAAAAACCUGUAACAGGCACCCUGGAGACAUUACUGUCUACAUACCAUAUAUAAAUUGUAGCCCCAUGAUUAGCCCCAGUGCAUUCUAUUUUGAUGUAAGGCCAAAAGCAUUCUUAAGUGGUCAAAGAAUCAUCUUCCAGUGCACCACAGCAUUCUGUUUUUCCUUACUAAUGGUAAUGAAAUUGCUAUUGUUCAAAGUUUGGAAAGUGUGUUAGGAGCUAGUCUUAAAGUAGAUCAUCUUUCUAGCUAUAUGGAAGGAUGGUAAGAGACAGACUAGCAUAUUUCUUAGGAUGAUUUUACAACUAAAAUAGAAGAAAAUAUAUUAAGAAAAGGA